rnacentral:rRNA from 1 species
AAAAACAUUGCUUUUUGAAUUUACAUAAAAAGUAAUUCCUGCCCAGUGACAAUUGUUUAACGGCCGCGGUAUCCUAACCGUGCAAAGGUAGCAUAAUCACUUGCCCAUUAAUUGUGGGCUAGAAUGAAUGGACUAACGAAAUAUAUUCUGUCUCUAUAAAUAAAAUAAAAAUUAAUCCCCAAACGAAGAAUUUUGGAUUUUGUUGAAGGACAAGAAGACCCUAUAGAGCUUUAUCUAAAAAAAUAUUAUUUAAUUUAUCAGGAUUCAGUUGGGGCGACUAGGGAAUAUAAAUCAUCCCUUAAAGAAAGAUAAAUUAAUCUAUUUAAUGACCCUUUUAAAGAUCAUAAAAUCAAGCUACCUUAGGGAUAACAGGCUAAUCCUACUAAAGAGUCCUUAUCUAAAGUAGGGAUUGGCACCUCGAUGUUGGCUUAGGGAAUCUAUAUAACGCAAAAGUUAUAUAAAGAUGGUUUGUUCAACCAAUAAUACCCUACAUGAUCU